GUCUCGGUAGUUGGUAGAGCGGAAGAUUGAAGAUCUUCGCGUCGGUGGUUCAAAUCCACUCUGAGGCACCA
rnacentral:tRNA from 1 species